rnacentral:rRNA from 1 species
AAGGAUCAUUACUGUGAUUUAGUACUACACUGCGUGAGCGGAACGAAAACAAAAACACCUAAAAUGUGGAAUAUAGCAUAUAGUCGACAAGAGAAAUCUACGAAAAACAAACAAAACUUUCAACAACGGAUCUCUUGGUUCUCGCAUCGAUGAAGAGCGCAGCGAAAUGCGAUACCUAGUGUGAAUUGCAGCCAUCGUGAAUCAUCGAGUUCUUGAACGCACAUUGCGCCCCUCGGCAUUCCGGGGGGCAUGCCUGUUUGAGCGUCGUUUCCAUCUUGCGCGUGCGCAGAGUUGGGGGAGCGGAGCGGACGACGUGUAAAGAGCGUCGGAGCUGCGACUCGCCUGAAAGGGAGCGAAGCUGGCCGAGCGAACUAGACUUUUUUUCAGGGACGCUUGGCGGCCGAGAGCGAGUGUUGCGAGACAACAAAAAGCUCGACCUCAAAUCAGGUAGGAAUACCCGCUGAACUUAA